rnacentral:rRNA from 1 species
AGAGUUUGAUNCCUGGCUCAGGNACGAACGCUGGCGGCGUGCUUAACACAUGCAAGUUGUGCGAGAAAGCUACCUUCGGGUAGUUAGUAAAGCAGCGGACGGGUGAGUAACGCGUGAGUAAUCUACCUUUAAGUUAGGGAUAACUAUUCGAAAGAGUAGCUAAUACCUAAUAUUAUAUCAUCACCAUAAGGCGAUGAUAUGAAAGAUGGCCUUGCUAUCGCUUAAAGAUGAGCUCGCGUCCCAUUAGCUAGUUGGUAAGAUAACAGCUUACCAAGGCCACAAUGGGUAGCCGACCUGAGAGGGUGAUCGGCCACACUGGGACUGAGACACGGCCCAGACUCCUACGGGAGGCUGCAGUGGGGAAUCUUCCGCAAUGGGCGAAAGCCUGACGGAGCAACGCCGCGUGAGUGAUGAAGGCCUUCGGGUCGUAAAGCUCUGUCCUCAGGGAAGAACACCCUAGUCGUAAAUAACGGCUAGGUUUGACGGUACCUGUGGAGGAAGCUCCGGCUAACUACGUGCCAGCAGCCGCGGUAAUACGUAGGGAGCAAGCGUUGUCCGGAAUUAUUGGGCGUAAAGGGUGUGUAGGCGGUCUAGUAAGUCAAAUGUGAAAUUCAUCGGCUCAACCGAUGAACUGCCUUUGAAACUACUAGACUUGAGGGUAAGAGAAGAGAGUAGAAUUCCUAGUGUAGCGGUGAAAUGCGUAGAUAUUAGGAAGAAUACCAGUGGCGAAAGCGACUCUCUGGCUUACUCCUGACGCUGAGACACGAAAGCUAGGGUAUCAAACCGGAUUAGAUACCCGGGUAGUCCUAGCCGUAAACGCUGGAUACUAGGUGUUGGAGGUUCGACUCCUUCGGUGCCGAAGUUAACGCAAUAAGUAUCCCGCCUGGGGAUUACGACCGCAAGGUUGAAACUCAAAGGAAUUGACGGGGGCCCGCACAAGCGGCGGAGCAUGUGGUUUAAUUCGAAGCAACGCGAAGAACCUUACCAGGGUUUGACAUCCCGUGACCACCUAUGAAAGUAGGAUUUGAUCUUUUGAUCACACGGAGACAGGUGGUGCAUGGCUGUGUCAGCUCGUGUCGUGAGAUGUUGGGUUAAGUCCCGCAACGAGCGCAACCCUUAUUCUUAGUUGCCAGCACUUUUAGGUGGGGACUCUAAGGAGACUGCCAGUCAAAAAACUGGAGGAAGGUGGGGAUGACGUCAAGUCAUCAUGCCCCUUAUACUCUGGGCUAGCACACGUGCUACAAUGGACUGUACAGAGGGUCGCUACACCGCAAGGUGAUGCUAAUCUCUAAAACAGUUCCCAGUUCGGAUUGCAGGCUGCAACUCGCCCUGCAUGAAGUUGGAGUNNCUAGUAAUCGUGGAUCAGAAUGCCGCGGUG